UCGUAUCCUCAUGAGAUGUCUGAUGUUGAUGCAUCCGUGGACUCUCCUGUGGGAAGUCCUGCGUCCUGGAAUUCACAUUCUCUAAGUCAAACGGACAGUGAUGCAGCUAGAAUGAGGAAGAAAUGGGGAAUGGCUCAGAAACCUAUGCUCGUGGCAAAUUCUUCUCAAAAUCAAUCACGCAAGGAAGCCAGAGGAUUUAAACGGUUUUUGAAAUUUGGGAGGAAAAGUCGUGGCACAGAUAGUUUAGUUGACUGGAUUUCUGCUACCACUUCUGAAGGAGAUGAUGAUACAGAAGAUGGACGUGACCCUUCUAAUCGAUCUUCAGAGGAUCUGAGAAAUGAGGAAGAAAUGGGGAAUUGCUCAGAAACCUAUGCUCGUAGCAAAUUCUUCUCAAAAUCCAUUGCGCAAGGAUACAGCCAGAGGAUUUAAACGGUUUUUGAAAUUUGGGAGGAAAAAUCGUGGCACAGAUAAUUUAGUUGACUGGAUUUCUGCUACAACUUCUGAAGGAGAUGAUG
rnacentral:lncRNA from 1 species